rnacentral:rRNA from 1 species
UACGUAGGGUCCGAGCGUUGUCCGGAAUUACUGGGCGUAAAGAGCUCGUAGGUGGUUUGUCGCGUUGUUCGUGAAAACUCACAGCUCAACUGUGGGCGUGCGGGCGAUACGGGCAGACUUGAGUACUGCAGGGGAGACUGGAAUUCCUGGUGUAGCGGUGGAAUGCGCAGAUAUCAGGAGGAACACCGGUGGCGAAGGCGGGUCUCUGGGCAGUAACUGACGCUGAGGAGCGAAAGCGUGGGGGGCGAACAGG